AUUGAACGCUGGCGGCAUGCUUUACACAUGCAAGUCGAACGGUAACAGGCCGCAAGGUGCUGACGAGUGGCGAACGGGUGAGUAAUGCAUCGGAACGUGCCCAGUCGUGGGGGAUAACGCAGCGAAAGCUGCGCUAAUACCGCAUACGAUCUAUGGAUGAAAGCGGGGGACCGUAAGGCCUCGCGCGAUUGGAGCGGCCGAUGUCAGACUAGGUAGUUGGUGGGGUAAAGGCUCACCAAGCCAACGAUCUGUAGCUGGUCUGAGAGGACGACCAGCCACACGGGGAGUGAGACACGGCCCAGACUCCUACGGGAGGCAGCAGUGGGGAAUUUUGGACAAGGGGCGCAAGCCUGAUCCAGCAAUGCCGCGUGCAGGAAGAAGGCCUUCGGGUUGUAAACUGCUUUUGUACGGAACGAAACGGCUCUCUCUAAUACCUCGGCGUAAUGACGGUACCGUAAGAAUAAGCACCGGCUAACUACGUGCCAGCAGCCGCCGUAACAC
rnacentral:rRNA from 1 species